rnacentral:misc_RNA from 1 species
GCGGACCACUGUUGUAAUAUGGACAUUUGCGUGUAUUUUUAUUAUCUUUUCAUUUGUGGAAAGCGACUUGCUUGAUAUAAUUUGAACUUAUUUACAGAGGGAUGUCAUUGUUUGUUACUCAUCAGUGACAUCCAAGAGACAAUGAGAUACUAGUGAGGCACUGUGAUACUAAUUACACAUCCAGCAUCUAUAUCUUUAUAUCCCAUUUUAUUUCUCCUUUUGUUCCAUUUUAGGAUUCUAAUAUCAGUGGAUUAAGCAACGUAACCCACAUGAAGAUAAUGCUCAAAUAGAUGAGGGAGAUCCGCUACCAGGUUGGAUGGAGCAACAAGUUCUUGCAUCGCACUUGACCAGGUUGGUUGGUUGCCUGCAGUCCCUACCUGGACAACAGAGCAAUCUCAGGUUGAGGUUGUGCUGCAGAUUUCAUUAGAUUUCAUCAUCCGAAGACGCAAAUCCCAUUGCAAAGUAAUUUAGAAAGCCAUUAAAAUCCAAUUAA